GUGCCAGCAGCCGCGGUAAUACGUAGGUGGCAAGCGUUAUCCGGAAUUAUUGGGCGUAAAGCGCGCGUAGGCGGUUUUUUAAGUCUGAUGUGAAAGCCCACGGCUCAACCGUGGAGGGUCAUUGGAAACUGGAAAACUUGAGUGCAGAAGAGGAAAGUGGAAUUCCAUGUGUAGCGGUGAAAUGCGCAGAGAUAUGGAGGAGCACCAGUGGCGAAGGCGACUUUCUGGUCUGUAACUGACGCUGAUGUGCGAAAGCGUGGGGAUUGAACAGGAUUAGAUACCCUGGUAGUCAAGGGCG
rnacentral:rRNA from 1 species